UUGGUUGUCAGAGCUAUUGCU
rnacentral:piRNA from 1 species